AUCUGAUUAGAUUUUGGAGUACGUAAGUCAAAGGUCAAGGGUCACAGAGGUCAUUAUCUGGUGUUUUGUGUCAUCAACAUAUUAAGAUGUUGAGUGUGGCAGGGUGAAUAGUUAAACAUAGGCAGAGGCAUAUUGGAAUGAAGUCGCACACAUCAAGUUUCUAACAUGUUAGUGUUACUUACCAGCAUGAAGUCUUGUCCAUUUACAGAUUGUUAUGAGCCUGCAGAAUGAUUGAAGGUGCCUGACAAGUAUUCGGAAAUGUGCAUGAUAUAUUGUCACUGUUUUUCAUUCAUGUGCAUGACCUAACUCUUUUCACAUUUUUUGUCUUUCAUCCGUAUUACAACUAAACCAUUAUUUACGAGGGAUCGCUUGGAUAACAUCUGAGCACAUUUCACUCCACAAUCUGAUGACCUUGUGGAAAGAGUCCACAACAUGUUCUUAGAGAUGGAGGAGAAGCUUAAGCAGGACCCUGCCACAUUUGCAGAGCCCUUUAAGGCUAUGCUACAGUCUCAUAGGAGGCUUAAGACUGAUAGCAGUCUCACAUCUGCUAUCAGAAUGUAUGGGAGAUACAGUGGCGUCAACCUUGCCAGGCGCAAGGUUAAGCCCAAGGUAGGUAUCCUUAAGACUUCUGGACCUAGCAUUGGCGUGCAGCCAACAGCCAUUGCUCGCAGAAGAGUGAAGAUUGGGGGGAGGAGAAACUUGACAUCGGGACGUCCGACCAAGCAGGCAACAGUUGAAGAACAUGGCUAUGCCAAAGGUGGUCAGUCAUCACAGUCAUCACAGUCAUCGCAGCUUCCACGUAAAAAACGUGCAGCUGCACCACAUAAUCUGAACCAUGCGGUCACAAUGUGCCAAUCUCUAGGCAAAACCCAUAGUAAAACAUAGUUUUUGUCUUGCCUGCGUACAUGUAUAUAGACGUCACUCUUUCCGACGUCAUUGUCGGCAUCAACAAUUAUGUUGUACUCACAAUAAAUUUCCAUAGCCUUUAGGUAGUAUCACCAAAUUCACACCAGUGGUACUUGCAUCUCUUGAAGACUCGGGUCGAGUUCGAAUAUGGGUCAUAUUCGACAAAGUUCAAAGGUCAAAAAGUCAAUGAACUUUAUAUGAAAAGCAUUGUACACACAAACUUAUCCAUAGCUUUGAGGGAGUAUUGCCAAAUUUACACCAGUGGAAACCUUUAAUAAUGAUGAGGUUCCUGGGACCUGAAAAUUUGGGAUAAAGGAAAUAUUAUUAUAUGUUAUGUUGUUAUAUAUAUUAGGUCUAUUAUUUAGAUUUAGGGUUUUAGAGGCAACGAUAUUUUUGGAGGUCCGUCACGGUCGUCUCAGAGAGCUAAAAUAUUAAAUCUCAUUUCUUAACGUCUAAGCCUAUGGAGAAUUCAUAAUAACAUAAAAUAUUGGACGCAAUGAACAUUCUGCCACGCCCACAAGAUUAUGAUUGGUCAAUACAUGAUUGUGUGCAUUCAGCUAACGUGAAGUAACAAUAAAACCUAUGUUGCUCUUUUUUAUUUUUCCUCUUAAGCCACGCCAUUAUUAGUGAUUGUGCGCAUGCAGCUAUUAAACGUGACGUCACCAUAUGAAAUUGCACCAUCCAAGUAACUACUUCGUUUUCAAUAAUUGUAACGUCACAAUAACUUCAAGUAACAACUUGGAUUGGGAUAUGUAAAUUCUAGAUGUUCGACUUUGUACAGGUAAAUGAUUAUAUUAGUGUUACGGUAGGCCUACUGUUUUCUUGAAAUUCAAACAUUUUUAACUUUUCAUGUUAGUUGUGCACCAGCACCACAUAAAUGCUUGGGAAAUUUCAUAUUUGCACUCGUUUCAAGCUUCAAUUGCCAAGAUGCAGUUUACAAGUACAUGUACUAGUAUAUUAUAAAAAAUGGUGAAUAAAUCACAAUAUCUCUGUGGAGUAUCUAAAUAAUAAUUAUAAUAUUGGAUGAUCAAUUUUCGCGAAAUACGUGAAAUAUUGUUACUCGCUGAAGAAAAAUAUUUUCAUGUAUCAUCCAUUAUUAUGUGUAUUCAGUUCGUUAUCUCCAAAGUAAAGUGCGGUGCACGCCUCUGCGCCCAUGAAUCCGCCUAUGUUCAGAUCUCUUUUUAUCUACAUGUGCAUGUAUUUUCAAAUAAAAAUUUCUUAUAGUCAUUUCUUGCAUCUAAAUCUUAACACACUGUCAAAUUAUCUGUUCAAAUUUCUACUAUUGUUUGCUUUCACUUUUACUACAUAUUUCUUCUUUAUAUAACUAUUUAUGCAUACACAUACUCCUGUAUCUUUUGUAUUACUUCUCUGACAUUGAAGGAUUAGAUUACCUUCACGAAAAAAAAAAGUAUAUGAAUGUAAAGCAGUAAAUAAAGUGCAAAUGAAUUCAUGUAAAA
rnacentral:lncRNA from 1 species